UGAGCAACCUGCCCUUAGCUCUGGGAUAACCCCGGGAAACCGGGGCUAAUACCGGAUACGAGUCCGAGCGGCAUCACGCGGACUGGAAAGUUUUUCGGCUAAGGAUGGGCUCGCGGCCUAUCAGCUUGUUGGUGGGGUAAUGGCCUACCAAGGCGACGACGGGUAGCCGGCCUGAGAGGGCGACCGGCCACACUUGGACUGAGACACGGCCCAGACUCCUACGGGAGGCA
rnacentral:rRNA from 1 species